rnacentral:rRNA from 1 species
GUAGGGAAUAUUGCGCAAUGGAUGAAAGUCUGACGCAGCGACGCCGCGUGAGUGAUGAAGGCCUUAGGGUCGUAAAGCUCUGUUGAAUGGGAAGAAAAAAAUGACGGUACCAUUCGAGGAAGGACCGGCUAACUUCGUGCCAGCAGCCGCGGUAAUACGAGGGGUCCUAGCGUUGUUCGGAAUCAUUGGGCGUAAAGGGUGUGUAGGUGGCCUGGUAAGUCAGGUGUGAAAGCCCCGGGCUCAACCCGGGAAGUGCACUUGAUACUGCGUGGCUUGAGUACCGAAGAGGGUAGUGGAAUUCCAGGUGUAGUGGUGAAAUACGUAGAUAUCUGGAGGAACACCGGUGGCGAAGGCGGCUACCUGGUCGAGUACUGACACUGAGACACGAAAGCAUGGGGAUCAAACAGGAUUAGAUACCCGAGUAGUCC